AUCAGUAGCACAUCAAAGUUCUCUAAAAAAAUUUAGUACUUAUAUUAAAAAUUAAAGUUAUAUUGUAAAAUUAGAAUUCUGGAAAAGGAUUCCAAAUCUUCCGAAUGUGCCCAAAAUAACAACUUUAAAGUGACAAAUUUUCGUUACUCGAAGCUUUAUUUUCGUAAUUGAUCAAAUAUUUUCAAUCGGAUUUGCAUCCAGAGAUGAGAAGGCCAAUCCAUCGUGAUGUUAUUUUCACAUCAAAAUCUCGGAAAGCAUGUCUCGACUAUAAGCUAUAAUCAAUAUCAAGCUACAAUAAUAGUGAUUGAGUGUCAUACUAAUUAAAGAAUAAAGAGAAAUCACGCCAUCGAAGUUAAAUAGUAAAUGGAUAAAACUUGUAUGAUAAUGUGACGUUUGAAACUGAGUUAAAAUGUAAAGAUUCCCUAUAUCUAACUUUAUGUACAAGGUGGUAUGACAUAAAACAAUUGGAAUAGCAUGACCACUGGGAAUUUUUAGAGAAUUUAUAGCACGAUCAACGAAUCGAAUCGAAGUAAAUAGAGUCAAGGAGAUCGGUGUCGCUUUGUAGAUUUAAAGCGUUACAUUGUCUCUUUAUAUGUAUCAUCUCAUGUUAAAUGGUAAUUAAAAAUAAUUUCUUCAUCCAGUAUUCUCACAUUAUCCCAAUCAAAUUCAUGAACAAAUUUUAAAUAAUGUUGUGUAAUUAUUGAUAUUUUAGAACUA